rnacentral:rRNA from 1 species
GAUGAACGCUGGCGGCGUGCCUAAUACAUGCGAGUCGAGCGAACGGACGAGAAGCUUGCUUCUCUGAUGUUAGCGGCGGACGGGUGAGUAACACGUGGAUAACCUACCUAUAAAACUGGGAUAACUUCGGGAAACCGGAGCUAAUACCGGAUAAUAUUUUGAACCGCAUGGUUCAAAAGUGAAAGACGGUCUUGCUGUCACUUAUAGAUGGAUCCGCGCUGCAUUAGCUAGUUGGUAAGGUAACGGCUUACAAAGGCAACGAGGCAUAGCCGACCUGAGAGGGUGAUCGACCACACUGGAACUGAGACACGACCCAGACACCUACGGGAGGCAGCAGUAGGGAAUCUUCCGCAAUGGGCGAAAGCCUGACGGAGCAACGCCGCGUGAGUGAUGAAGGUCUUCGGAUCGUAAAACUCUGUUAUUAGGGAAGAACAUAUGUGUAAGUAACUGUGCACAUCUUGACGGUACCUAAUCAGAAAGCCACGGCUAACUACGUG